CAAGGUUGGAAUCUGCAGGAUGCUGUCUUUUUGAUGCUGCAGGAUGUUGGUUGAUGUUGGUAAGGUUUGUUGGUUGGUUGGUUGAAAAAAUGCAAGUGAAGUGAUUGGACCAAAUGAUGUGUGUUGGUUGGACAGAAAAAAAAAAUACAAGUGACAGUGAAUGCGAGUGAGGGCCAGGUUUUAGCAGAAAAUGCACAAGCAAGGCAAGG
rnacentral:lncRNA from 1 species